rnacentral:tRNA from 1 species
GGGCAGAUUCCCGAGCGGCCAAAGGGAUCAGACUGUAAAUCUGACGUCUUCGACUUCGGUGGUUCGAAUCCACCUCUGCCCACCA